AGAAACUAUGAUAGGCAUCGAAACGGAUUCAAUUCUAGAGAGUGAAUCUGCAACUACAUUUUGUUUACCAGAUAUAUGCUCGAUGUUUGUUGAAAAUUGAGCAAUGAAAUCAAGAUGUCGGAUCUGUCUGGGUGAAGCUUUAUCCAAUUUUUGUUGAAAAGCAUAAAUUAAAGGUUUAUGAUCUGUCCGAAUAAGAAUUUGACGUCCUUCAAGUAUGUACCUGAAAUGCUUGAUGGCUAAAUAAAUACCAAGAAGUUCACGAUCAUGCACCAACUGCAAAAUCCGAUGUGUCACAAGCGAGGAUAAGAGGUACAGUUGAAGCCGGAUGCGCUAAAGUUGUGACUCGUAAGAGUUCUUCUUUGCAAUUUUUGAAAGCUUCUUCAGCUUCAAAAGUCCAAGUGACUAACCUUUUAUCCCUUUUCCUGCUAUCCUUAAGAUAAUCCGUAAGAACUGCCUGAUGUGAUGCAGCAUUUUUCAGACAACGACGAUGUCGAUUUAAUUCCUUGCUUGGAAACUAAAUAGCCAAGGAAAGAAAUUUCAUCCUUACCAAAAAGACAUUUGGACAAAUUAAUCGUCAUGCCGAAUUGUUUAAGCCGAGAAAACACAGUAUGAAGAUGUUUGGCAUGUUCUUUCUCAUUAACAGAAGCAAUUAAGAUAUCAUCAAGAUAACAGACACAAAAAUCAAGUCCAGAUAAUAUGAUAUUCAUAAGACGCUGAAAAGUCUGAGCAGCAUUACGCAAACCAAAAGGCAUUACAAGAAAUUCAAAAAGGCCGAAUGGAGUAGUAACAGCUGUUUUUG